UUUUUUUUGUUUUUUUUGUUUUUUUUGUUUUUGAAGCACCUUAGGAGUUCUGAUGCAGAACCACGGUUGAGAAAUGCAGCGGGAAGGUUGUGUUCUUUGUUCUCUGGCUUUACUAGCAAGGUAUUGGAAUAAAGAUAACCGUAGCUUCCUGUGAACAUGUCAGUUCUGAUAUCACAGAGUGUAAUAAAUUAUGUCGAAGAAGAAAACAUUCCUGCUUUGAAAGCACUUCUUGAAAAAUGCAAAGAUGUGGAUGAGAGAAAUGAG
rnacentral:lncRNA from 1 species